rnacentral:rRNA from 1 species
UACGUAGGGGGCAAGCGUUGUCCGGAAUCAUUGGGCGUAAAGAGCGUGUAGGCGGCUCGAUAAGUCCGCUGUGAAAGUCGAGGGCUCAACCCUCGAAUGCCGGCGGAUACUGUCGGGCUAGAGUCCGGAAGAGGCGAGUGGAAUUCCUGGUGUAGCGGUGAAAUGCGCAGAUAUCAGGAGGAACACCUACGGCGAAGGCAGCUCGCUGGGACGGUACUGACGCUGAGACGCGAAAGCGUGGGGAGCAAACAGG